rnacentral:rRNA from 1 species
AGAGUUUGAUCCUGGCUCAGAACGAACGCUGGCGGCGUGGAUCAGGCAUGCAAGUCGAGCGAUCUCGCAAGAGAUAGCGGCAGAAGGGUUAGUAACGCGUGGGCAAUCUGCCCUUGAGUUGGGGAUAACCUCCCGAAAGGGGGGCUAAUACCGGAUGACAUUUUUUGGUCGCAUGACCGAAAAAUCAAAGGUGGCCGCAAGGCUAUCGCUUAAGGAUGGGCCCGCGUCCUAUCAGCUAGUUGGUGAGGUAACGGCUCACCAAGGCGUUUGACGGGUAGCUGGUCUUAGAGGAUGACCAGCAACACUGGGACUGAGAUACUGCCCAGACUCCUACGGGAGGCUGCAGUCGAGAAUCUUUAUCAAUGCCCGAAAGGGUGAAUAUGCGACGCCGCGUGCAGGAUGACGGCCUUCGGGUUGUAAACUGCUGUCAGGGGUGAGGAAAAUUUACGUGUUAAUACCACGUGAACUGACGUUAACCCCAAAGGAAGCCACGGCUAACUCUGUGCCAGCAGCCGCGGUAAUACAGAGGUGGCAAGCGUUGUUCGGAUUUAUUGGGUGUAAAGGGCAGGUAGGCGGUUCAGUAAGUCUGUUGUGAAAUCCCGGGGCUCAACCCCGGAACUGCAACGGAAACUACUGAGCUGGAGCGAUGUAGAGGUGAGGGGAAUUCUCGGUGUAAGGGUGAAAUCUGUAGAUAUCGAGAGGAACACCAAUGGCGAANGCACCUCACUGGACAUUUGCCGACGCUGAGCUGCGAAAGUAGGGGGAGCAAACAGGAUUAGAUACCCUGGUAGUCCCUACCGUAAACGAUGUAGAUUAGGUGUCGGGGGAGUCGAACCCUUCGGUGCCGCAGUUAACACAUUAAAUCUACCACCUGGGGAGUACGGUCGCAAGACUGAAACUCAAAGAAAUUGACGGGGACCCGCACAAGCGGUGGAGCAUGUGGUUUAAUUCGAGGCUACGCGAGGAACCUUACCUAGGCUUGACAUGAUAGCAGUAGGUGGGAUGAAAGUCCUGCCGAUCGUAUCCAAUCGAAGGCUAACACAGGUGCUGCAUGGCUGUCGUCAGCUCGUGCUGUGAAGUGUUGGGUUAAGUCCCGCAACGAGCGCAACCAUUACCCCUAGUUGCCAACAGGUAAAGCUGGGAACUCUAGGGGGACUGCCGAUGAUAAAUCGGAGGAAGGUGGAGAUGACGUCAAGUCAGCAUGGCCCUUACGCCUAGGGCGACACACGUGCUACAAUGGUCGGUACAAUGGGCUGCGAACCCGCGAGGGGGAGCCAAUCCCAAAAAGCCGGCCCCAGUUCGGAUUGCAGGUUGCAAUUCGCCUGCAUGAAGCUGGAAUCGCUAGUAAUGGCAUAUCAGCCACGAUGCCGUGAAUACGUUCCCGGGUCUUGUACACACCGCCCGUC